AAUUUGUACAAAAAUGGCACAGUAUGGCUGAAAGUGCCUCAAGAGGGGAACUUUAUUUAUCAUUUAAAAGGGAUUUCUGUCUUGAAGGCUACUUGGUAAAACUAAAUAAACAACGCAGAGUACAAUUGAGUAAACUGCGAUGUUCAAAUUUAAAAUUCCCUAUAGAAGCCGGUAGAUGGUUAAAUAUACCUCGUGAGGACAGAAUAUGCACAUUAUGUGACAUGGGGGUGAUAGGAAAUGAAUUUCAUUAUCUGCUAGUAUGUUGUAACCCUAAUAUUGAAAGAAUUAGAAAAAUGCAUAUACCAAGAUAUUAUUUUUUU
rnacentral:lncRNA from 1 species